rnacentral:rRNA from 1 species
GUGGGGAAUAUUGCACAAUGGGGGAAACCCUGAUGCAGCGACGCCGCGUGAGUGAAGAAGUAUUUCGGUAUGUAAAGCUCUAUCAGCAGGGAAGAAAAUGACGGUACCUGAUUAAGAAGCCCCGGCUAACUACGUGCCAGCAGCCGCGGUAAUACGUAGGGGGCAAGCGUUAUCCGGAUUUACUGGGUGUAAAGGGAGCGUAGACGGCAACACAAGUCUGAAGUGAAAUGCCGGGGCUUAACCCCGGAACUGCUUUGGAAACUGUGUAGCUAGAGUGCAGGAGAGGUAAGUGGAAUUCCUAGUGUAGCGGUGAAAUGCGUAGAUAUUAGGAGGAACACCAGUGGCGAAGGCGGCUUACUGGACUGUAACUGACGUUGAGGCUCGAAAGCGUGGGGAGCAAACAGG